CUUCUCUUGUCUAGACAGAAUGGAAAGCCCCUGAUAUUGCAGAAUCUCAUUCAUCACCAUGAUCUGAAGUACUCAGAGCAGACAAUAUUAUGCACACAAAAGAAGUAGGAAGACUGCAAACUCCUUUAAAAGAAACAAGCCUGGAACCAUGGACCCAGCCCCAGGACAGGGCAGUAGCUGAGGUUGUCAUCACCCUGAAGAAGAUAGCCUUGAUAUCUCUAAUUGCAAGUUUGUCCUUCAUUUGAGCCUAAGUAAGUUACUGUUAAGUCAGCUUUAAUUAUUUACUUCUGCUCUGUCCUGUUGUAUCAGAGAUCAUUUCCCUGACCCGCUUAUGCUUCCCCCAUCCAUCCAUGAUACAGAAGUUGUAAAAUAUUUUCCUUUCUUCUGUGCUUUGCCUGUAAUGAUUAAUACUGAACCAGGUGAUGAAUGUGAACAAAAGGGUGGCAAUUACAAUUUCAUUAAUCACUUAAUAAU
rnacentral:lncRNA from 1 species